UACGUAGGGUGCGAGCGUUAAUCGGAAUUACUGGGCGUAAAGCGUGCGCAGGCGGUUUGCUAAGACCGAUGUGAAAUCCCCGGGCUUAACCUGGGAACUGCAUUUGUGACUGCAUAGCUAGAGUACGGUAGAGGGGGAUGGAAUUCCGCGUGUAGCAGUGAAAUGCGUAGAUAUGCGGAGGAACACCGAUGGCGAAGGCAAUCCCCUGGACCUGUACUGACGCUCAUGCACGAAAGCGUGGGGGAGCAAACAGG
rnacentral:rRNA from 1 species